AUUGAACGCUGGCGGAAUGCUUUACACAUGCAAGUCGAACGGCAGCACGGACUUCGGUCUGGUGGCGAGUGGCGAACGGGUGAGUAAUACAUCGGAACGUGCCCAGUCGUGGGGGAUAACGUAGCGAAAGCUACGCUAAUACCGCAUACGAUCUAAGGAUGAAAGCGGGGGAUCGCAAGACCUCGCGCGAUUGGAGCGGCCGAUGGCAGAUUAGGUAGUUGGUAGGGUAAAGGCCUACCAAGCCGACGAUCUGUAGCUGGUCUGAGAGGAUGAUCAGCCACACUGGGACUGAGACACGGCCCAGACUCCUACGGGAGGCAGCAGUGGGGAAUUUUGGACAAUGGGCGCAAGCCUGAUUCAGCCAUUCCGCGUGCAGGAUGAAGGCCUUCGGAUUGUAAACUGCUUUUGUACUGAACGAAAAGGCUCUGGUUAAUACCCGGGGCUCAUGACGGUACUGUAAGAAUAAGCACCGGCUAACUACGUGCCAGCCGCCGCAGUAA
rnacentral:rRNA from 1 species